AACGAACGCUGGCGGCAGGCCUAACACAUGCAAGUCGAACGCCCUAGCAAUAGGGAGUGGCAGACGGGUGAGUAACACGUGGGAACGUGCCCUCCGGUUCGGAAUAACUCAGGGAAACUUGAGCUAAUACCGGAUACGUGCGAGAGCAGAAAGAUUUAUCGCCGAAGGAUCGGCCCGCGUCCGAUUAGCUAGUUGGUGAGGUAAUGGCUCACCAAGGCGACGAUCGGUAGCUGGUCUGAGAGGAUGACCAGCCACACUGGACUGAGACACGGCCCAGACUCCUACGGGAGGCAGCAGUGGGGAAUAUUGGACAAUGGGCGCAAGCCUGAUCCAGCCAUGCCGCGUGAGUGAUGAAGGCCCUAGGGUUGUAAAGCUCUUUCGCCAGGGACGAUAAUGACGGUACCUGGAUAAGAAGCCCCGGCUAACUUCGUGCCAGCAGCCGCAGUAA
rnacentral:rRNA from 1 species